AGUGAACGCUGGCGGUAUGCCUAACACAUGCAAGUCGAACGACAAGACAAUGAGAUUGCUCCUUUAAGGGUAGCGGCGGACGGGUGGGUAAGACAUAGAUAAGAAUCUAAUUAUUCUGGGGGAAUAACGGGGAAACACAUAUGAUACUACCGCAUAUAAUCUACGGCAUAAUUCAAUAGUGAUUCGGAGCUUGCCCGAUUGAUAUAGAUGAUGUCGGGUCGCAUUAGCUAGUUGGUAAGGUAACGGCCUACCAAGGCAACGAUGCGUAGCCGAUCUGAGAGGGUGAUCAGCCACACUGGAACUGAGACACGGUCCAGACUCCUACGGGAGGCAGCAGUAGGGAAUCUUCCGCAAUGGGCGAAAGCCUGACGGAGCAACGCCGCGUGAGUGAUGAAGGUCUUCGGAUCGUAAAACUCUGUUAUUAGGGAAGAAAAAAUGUGUAAGUAACUAUGCACGUCUUGACGGUACCUAAUCAGAAAGCCACGGCUAACUUCGUG
rnacentral:rRNA from 1 species